CGUGCAGCUCUUUGUGCAGCAGCAGCAGGAGCAGCACCGCGCCCUGAACGCCUGUCCGAAGAUCCCUCCGUCAGGUGAGACGGAUCGCGCUCCGCAGGUGAAGCUCUCUGAGGGUCUGAAUUAAAGAAAGAAAAAAGGCAUGGAGCCUCGACACUGAAACCAGAACCCCAUUUCACUGAACCCACCUCCAGCUGCGUUCAGGUACCGACAGCAGCUGCGUUCAGGGACUCCGUUUGAACUCGACGGCUGGAUUUACCUGAUCUGCGACUGGAACACCAAGGUUGACCCCCCCUCUGAUGGCCCCCUGAUCCCGCCCCCCCUGCAGUGGGCUCCUCUGACUCCGCUUCGCUCUACUUCCUGCCCCCCCCUCGCAGUAACCAUGGAUACGGACAAGGAGGACACCGCCGGCUGCUACUACAACCGCACCGUGAAGUUCUUCUACGAGGAGAGCGGGAAGAACAUCAGCAUCCAUUGGCGUGGCCGUGACUACGUGAUUGUGACGCUGGGCAUGACGGUGUGUUUCAUCGUGAUCUUCUCCAACCUGCUGGUGAUGGGCGCCAUCCUGAAGAACCGCCGCUUCCACUUCCCCAUUUACUACCUGCUGGGGAACCUGGCCGUGGCCGACCUCUUCUCAGGUGUGUCCUACCUGCACUUGAUGUUCCACACCGGCCCGUGGACCAUCAAGCUCACUAAGUACCGCUGGUUCGUGCGGCAGGGCCUCAUCGACACCAGCCUCACGGCCUCCGUCCUGAACCUUUUGGCCGUGGCGGUGGAGCGGCACCAGACCAUCUUCAACAUGCAGCUGCACAGCAAGAUGAGCACCAGGCGCGUCUUCAUCAUCAUUGUCUUCAUCUGGCUGCUGGCCAUCGUCAUGGGCCUGGUCCCCACCAUGGGCUGGCACUGCCUGUGCGACCUGCCCAACUGCUCCACCAUGGCGCCCAUGUACAGCCGCAGUUACCUGGUGUUCUGGGCGCUGCUGAACCUGCUCACCUUCUCCGUCAUGGUGGCCGUCUACACCCGCAUCUUCCUGUACGUCCGGCACAAGAGCCAGCAGAUGUCCCAGCACACGUCCCAGAUGAGGCACCGCGAGACCGUGUUCAACCUGAUGAAGACUGUGUCCAUGAUCCUGGGCUGCUUCGUGGUCUGCUGGACUCCGGGCCUGGUGGUUCUGUUGCUGGACGGGCUCGGCUGCGACAAGUGUCAAGUUCUGCGCUACGAGAAGUACUGCCUGGUUCUGGCCGAGUGCAACUCCUUCGUCAACCCCAUCAUCUACUCCUUCAGGGACAAGGACAUGAGGCGGACCUUCAAGGAGAUCCUAUGCUUCCUGUGCCGGCGGGGUGACGGCAACAAGAGCACCUCCGGGGUUCACUUUAACACGCUGGAGCACGAGGUACUGUCCGAGAGCAAAGGAGAAAACACGCACGCCCCUGAAUGCACCACCACGCUAAACAGAUGAUCUCCUCCGUCGCUAAACAGAGCUUCCGCACUCCUAGAGGUCACAUGGCUCUCCUAGAGGUCACAUUUCAGGCCCACUCGGUACUUUCACUUUACUUAUCCUAAAAAUACGCCAGAAAGUCCCGGUUUAAAACAGGGUUAGGUCUGCAGAAUAUCACUAGGGUUACCCUCUGCUCCUUUGAGGGAUAUUUUCAGAAUAAAGCAGGAUCCUCUGCUACACACUGACAAACGAAAGGAUGCAUUUCAAUGGGACUGAAACGGGGUCCACCACCGUGGAGAUGUUUGUUUUGCUUUUGCUGAUAUCCUCACAAUAACACAGGGUUCACAGACAGAAUAAAGGUUUAGUUAUUUUCAACAAAAAAACCCAGAAAAUGAUGGUUUUAUAUUUGAGCUACGUUAUUCAGAAGAAAAACACUGAGGGGCAAAUCUGUUAAACGGGUCCCUCGUACUUCCAUUAAACCCCUGUAAUAAAAAAGUGCUGAAAGAGAGGAACCUCCAGAGAGUUUUCGCAGAAUUCAACUCAGAUUUGUAAUUAAUAAUUAUAUUUUGUACACCAUGUGUUCCAGGGUUAGGGUGAGGGAAUGUUUUCCUGGCUCCUCUGUUUUCUCAUCGACUGGGAGCGCUACCCUCAUCUACAUCAUGCUAAUUCAACACUAGCGUUAGCUGUAGCUUAGCUUCCCUGCACCAGCACGGUCUGAGAGGAUGGACGCACAUUUUGAACCCUUCUCAAAAGUAGAGUUGCUCUUUAGUGCAACUCUUAAAUCAUUUUCAGCUGGAAGCUACCGUCAGGAGCCUUGAUUCAGACCUGAUCUCAGUCUGCUGCUCAAACUAAAGCAGAGGUGCUUUUAAGGGUCGUGUGAAGCCUUCAUGCUCCUCGGCUGUAGUCGGUUUCUGUAAAUAUCUGGGUUUCAUAUAUCAAGAAAAGCCCCCCGAGUGUUCGAGCUGGUAGCGAUGAGUUUACCGCUGAUGGGACGCUGAACAGGCUCUCACUUCCUUUCUCAGAUUUAACCAUCGAUGCUUUAACACCUUGCGGCUGAAACUGGAACGAGCUCAAGGCAGGACUUUGUCUUGGUUGUGCAGACUAUGAAGCAGAAAAAAGACUCUGAGGGUUCUGCUCUGCAAGCGUUUCACUGUUUGUGGCUUUGAAUGUCUCUGUGUUCUGCUUUGAAUGUCUCACACGAUGUGUGUGUCUGCGCUCUGCAGGGGAAACUUCCGCUGUUCAUCACGAAGAGGCACAUUGUGGAGAAAUGUUGCAAAAUCAUAAAUCCUUGCACAGUUUGGCUCCGUGUGUCUCCAGUUUCCGUCACCCUUCAUGUAUGAUCUGGAUCUGACUGCAUGACAGCGUGUUCUCCUACAAACCAAACACUCAGUGAGUCAGAUCAUUGCCGAGUGACUCCACACGAACCAGGACUGACCUCUGGUGUGUAGCGGUACAGAACACAUCGAACAACUAUUAUUAAAUCAACAAGUACAAGAAAUAUGUGCAGUUUAUAUCAAAUAAAUGUGGGUUUUCAGCUUUAGACCCUCCCCUAAGGACAGGAGAUACAUAUAUGAAAUUGCAGUUGUGUUUUAGUUCAACAGUAGAUGCUAAAUGUAGAAAUUAAAGAUCGAAAACGUCUCAUUAUUUAACGUUACUCUUCUUGCUUUAAUCAGGUACCCGUCCAAUCAGCUCUGAGGUUAGACUCAAACACAUGGCCCUCUGUCUGCAUGUCUGACAGCAGGGACUGUGGAAGUCCCCUGCUGCCUCUACCUUUUUAAGGGUGUGUGUGUGUGUGUGUGUGUGUGUGUGUGUGUGUGUGUAUGUUGUGCUUUAUCUCACACACACACACACACACACACACACACACACACACACACACACACACACACACACACACACACACACACACACACACACACACACACACACACACACACACACACACAGUGGUUCACUAAACAUGGCUGCGCUGGUUUUAAGGGGUGACUUUGAUUGUCGUUAGACUUCGACUGAUUCCACUUUUGAGGUUUUCUUUUUUACAGUUUUUCUUGUUUGGACAUCUCGUUCUGCUUCGGGUCUGUUUUUGUACAAAGGUUGUUUAAAGUGUUCUGAAUAAAUGUCUGAAGCUGCUGCUGUGUGUCUGCUCCGUGUGCUCUGUGCUCGUCUGUGUGUCCUGUCUCUGUCAGCACAGGGUUCAUCCCGGUGUUCUCAGGCCCUCUUCUUCAUCGUGUAUUCAUAUUCAUCAGCAAGAUGUAUGAUCAGAAACAUCACACAUUAAUGUUCAUAGAAGAAGAAGGAGCCCUUACUGGUCCCACAGAGGACUCCUUACUGGUCCCACAGAGGAAGCCUUACUGGUCCCACAGAGGAAGCCUUACUGGUCCCACAGAGGAAGCCUUACUGGUCCCACAGAGGACUCCUUACUGGUCCCACAGAGGAAGCCUUACUGGUCCCACAGAGGACUCCUUACUGGUCCCACAGAGGAAGCCUUACUGGUCCCACAGAGGAAGCCUUACUGGUCCCACAGAGGAAGCCUUACUGGUCCCACAGAGGAAGCCUUACUGGUCCCACAGAGGAAGCCUUACUGGUCCCACAGAGGAAGCCUUACUGGUCCCACAGAGGACUCCUUACUGGUCCCACAGAGGAAGCCUUACUGGUCCCACAGAGGACUCCUUACUGGUCCCAGAGGCUGUUAGGAGCAGUGGGCCCGGGGAGUAGGGGCUCAUGGACACCUCGGUAGCUCUUGUUCUCUCGGGGACUUGAACUGGUAACCGAAGCCAAGACCCUUUGGACCUCGCCACCCCCCAUCGACACUUGUUUCUGAUCCGGACUCUUUUUUAAAGCUCUGGGUUUUUCCAUGUUUUUUAUUUGUCGGAGCAGCAGAAGAACUAUAAGUCUCGUACAGCAGACCCCCUACCGAGCAGCAGCAAUGGGACGCCCCUGAUCCACCGGCAGCAGGGAGCCCCCCCCCCCUCCGAGACCUGACCACGUGAUGCUGGACUUCGAACAGGAAGCCCCCCCCCCCCCCCCCCCCCAGAGACCUGAACAGGAAGCUAACUUUUCGGAGGAGGAGGAAUCUGUCCUGCUUCCUGUCUUGUUUCAUAUUGAAGUGAACAUCUUCAGACUCUGAGACCUACAGGACCAGAGGAGGGUCUGCAGUCUCCUGACAGCAGCUUUGUAUUUCCCUGCGGGACAGAGACGGACUUGUCUCUGAGUUCUGUGACGGGACUGGAAGGCCUCAUGUGGGUCGCGAAGGACGCUUUGCCCCCCCCCCCCCCCCCCCCCAGUGUCAUUAUCUAAAGCUCAGACCCCCUCUGAUCCUCCUCACAGGUUUUUACUUUGUUUUAAAAUACCACCUAUCUCAUAAACGUCUUUUUUUAGAGCCGUCGUUCUUCUGGAUUUGUUGGAUUUUUCUCAUUUGAUAAUUUAAACUCUUGAUUUAACGACAGAUUACAGAUCGAUGCUCAUUCAAGUGUUUCCUAACCCGGCUAAAUGAAUAAUUUUGUGUUUGAAUUUGGCUUUUAUUCACUUCAAUAAAGCAUGGUUAGUAUGAACUGCUUCAUUGAGCAUUUUAAACCUGUGCUGAUCGUCUGCUUUGAGGAUCUUGUCCUCCUGCUUCUCUUCCCUGGGUUUCUAUCUCUGCAGCACUCUGACAGGCGCUGGAAAUUGUAAAAUGAUGAAGCUUUUUAUUUUUAAUUUCUGUUUGCAUCUCAUAAAGUGUAUUUUUGUAAUUGAUUGUGAUGUUAUUUAUGAUCACACUGUAGAUAUAAUGUACAGCCUUUGACUUCAGAAUCGACUCAAAGCAAACAGGAAGGGGGAUAAAAACCAUUGUCGUUUCCACCACUGGUUUUAUUUGAAUGGUUUGCUCACAUUAAAGGGAAAUACUGUUCUAUUUUAAUACUGAAAAUUAAAGAUGUUUUUGACUAAA